GGUUUCUAAAAGUCAGCAGCCAUGGCGAGUCCAGCUACCUUGAGACAGCUGUGCGGUGAGGAAGCCCGAGCCGGCAAUGGAGAGGCCCCCUCGAAGACGCAGUAUCACACAAUGAGCUGGUGAAGGUAAUCAUCCAACAAGCCAAGGGAGUAACCAAGAAUGGAACACACAGAACCAGAAAACCAGGGAUGUAAAACCUUAGAGGCAGGAACCUUCACAGACUUGGUGGCAGCUCCCCCCACCCUCUGCCCUGGGACCUUCUGCAUCGCACAGCCUGACCCGGACUCGACAAGUUUCAAAGCAGUUUCUCCAUGUUGAUA